rnacentral:lncRNA from 1 species
AAGUUUCAGUAAUACGUCAGCGGUGAAAGAGGCCGUCCUUCCAGAAAUGACGUAGUGGACGUUGCAGUCGACAUAUAAAUGCGCACCGAAAUCGCGUGUAAGAUUUAAAACAGAUGCGAUUUCACGCCGAGAUGGACAAACUCGUAUUUUGCUGUUUAUUCGUUUGGCUGUCUUUUAAUAUCGGCUGGAGUUCUACGGCGAAAUGGCACGAGGACGCAAAUGAAGGGAAUAAGGUGACUAUCGACAGAUGCCAAAUAGAGGAAAACUACGAGCUGAGAAAAUUGUGUGAUAUAUGUUCUAGAGUGACUGGAAAUUACGAUCUGUAUAACAGAUGCUGCUAUAACAGAAACGAAGAAGAAAACUGGUGCCGACAGUUUAUAAAUUAUAGAUUUCAGCCUCAGUAAGAUUAAGUGGCUUUUUUAAUCACGAAUAUUUCGCUUAUUUAUAUUGUCGAUAUACUAUUGUAACUGUUUCUGUUGUAAUAAACGUGAUUAUCUAUUAAUAUUGGAGUUAUAUGUGGAAAUUAAUCGACCGAAUCACCAGGGAGUUAAUUUAGAAGAAUAUUUCGACUUCGGUCUAUGAAUAAACAGUGUAGCACCGAUAAAACUUUACUUAGUUUCGUUAAUAACUUUGAUAUUUAUAUAAUUCCGAUUACACACAUUUUUUAAUGAUAAAUUCAGUUAAAAUUAUCAAUAUUAAACACCGCCAUACGCUCAAAAACGUAUCCGAAUAAACACUUGUUGCAUAGUAAAAUUUUAUUAUUCUUCAAGGUCGAUAAUUUCGUAGAAGCGCGAUUCUGGGAAACUAUGCGUAAUCGUAUUUAAGCCGUCAAGCGUUUAGUAAGAAUGUUGUUACGCGAAAAGGUAGAGUGUAAUUUUCUUACGAAACGUUGUUUACCUUUUCGUUCGUCGUAUAAAGCGUUCAACAGUACAAAACACGAAAGAGCAAAAAUAUUUACAGUUCUACAGUGAGAUAAGAAAGAAAGCAUUAUUGGAUUUAUUUGAAAAAUUUUUUAUAUUGUUGAAGUUGUAGCAAAACUCAGAUCGAAACUGUUUCUGUUUUCCUUAAGGAUCGAAAAUUUAAAAAAUUUUUUUUUUUUUUUGCAAAUAUGCAUUUUUGGAAUUCUCCGUGAAUUAAAUUCGAAAC